rnacentral:rRNA from 1 species
GACGAACGCUGGCGGCGUGCCUAAUACAUGCAAGUCGAACGCAGUGGGGACGGGUGAGUAACACGUGGGUAACCUCCCAUCAGAGGGGAUAACACUUGGAAACAGGUGCUAAACCGCUACUGAUGGAUGGACCCGCGGUGCAUUAGCUAGUUGGGGGGGUAACGGCGCACCAAGGCGACGAUGCAUAGCCGACCUGAGAGGAGGAACGGCCACACUGGGACUGAGACACGGCCCAGACUCCUACGGGAGGCAGCAGUAGGGAAUCUUCGGCAAUGGACGAAAGUCUGACCGAGCCACGCCGCGUGUAUGAAGAAGGUUUUCGGGUCGUAAAGCUCUGUUGGUAGGGAGGCGUUAUCUAACCAGAAAGCCACGGCUAACUACGUGCCAGCAGCCGCGGUAAUAC